rnacentral:misc_RNA from 1 species
GAACGCACAUUGCGCCCCUUGGUAUUCCGGGGGGCAUGCCUGUUCGAGCGUCAUUUCAACCCUCAAGCACUGCUUGGCAUUGAGCCCUAUGUCAGAAAUGGCAGGCUCUAAAAUCAGUGGCGGCGCCGCUGGGUCCUGAACGUAGUAAUAUCUCUCGUUACAGGCUCUCAGUGUGCUUCUGCCAAAACCCCAAAUUUUUUUAUGGUUGACCUCGGAUCAGGUAGGGAUACCCGCUGAACUUAAG